rnacentral:rRNA from 1 species
AGAGUUUGAUCCUGGCUCAGGAUGAACGCUAGCGGCAGGCCUAACACAUGCAAGUCGAGGGGCAUCAUGGCGUAGCAAUACGCUGAUGGCGACCGGCGCACGGGUGCGUAACGCGUAUGGAACCUACCCACCGCAGGGGGAUAACCCGCCGAAAGGCGGACUAAUACCCCAUGGUUCCCCGACCCUGCCUGGGGUUGGGGGUAAAGCCUACGGGCGGCGGUGGAUGGCCCUGCGUGCCAUUAGCUGGCUGGUGGGGUAACGGCCCACCAGGGCGACGAUGGCUAGGGGGUCUGAGAGGACGAUCCCCCACACUGGUACUGAGACACGGACCAGACUCCUACGGGAGGCAGCAGUGAGGAAUAUUGGUCAAUGGGCGGAAGCCUGAACCAGCCAUGCCGCGUGCAGGAUGACGGCCCUACGGGUUGUAAACUGCUUUUCCCCGGGGCGAAUAACCCCCUCGCGAGGGGGGAUGCCGGUACCGGGGGAAUAAGGAUCGGCUAACUCCGUGCCAGCAGCCGCGGUAAUACGGAGGAUCCGAGCGUUAUCCGGAUUUACUGGGUUUAAAGGGUGCGUAGGCGGGUGGCUCAGUCGGCGGUGAAAUGCAGCGGCUCAACCGUUGCCCUGCCGUCGAAACUGGCCGCCUUGAAUUCGGUCGAGGCCGGCGGAAUGCGCGGUGUAGCGGUGAAAUGCUUAGAUAUCGCGCGGAACGCCGAUUGCGGAGGCAGCUGGCUGGACCGAGAUUGACGCUGAUGCACGACAGCGUGGGGAUCGAACAGGAUUAGAUACCCUGGUAGUCCACGCCGUAAACGAUGAUGGCUGGGUGUUGGCGAUACACUGUCAGCGCCUGAGCGAAAGCAUUAAGCCAUCCACCUGGGGAGUACGAUCGCAAGGUUGAAACUCAAAGGAAUUGACGGGGGCCCGCACAAGCGGAGGAACAU